rnacentral:lncRNA from 1 species
GAAGAGAAGAGAAGAGAAGAGAAGAGAGCAAGAGAGAGAGGAGGGGACAAGCAGCCCCUUUUACAGUGAGUCAGGCAUGCCUGGCUGUUGCUAGGUAACUGUGGGGCGGAGCCUAGACGAAAUGCCAACAGUUAUGAUGCAUUAUGGGAUUAUAGCUCAACUGAUGGCGCACAUGCCUCAUGUCCACAAAGCCCUGGGUUGCAUUCCCAGUGUCUCAUAAACAGGGAACGGUGGCACACACCUGUCAUUGCAGCACGUGGGAGUUCAAGGUCUUCAGCUAAUAUCAAGCCAACCUAAGUCUCCCAUUACGAAACCAGCAAGGGAUUAAUGUGGCAGUGACCUUCAGCACCUUCAGAGCCCACCAGCUGGCAACCCAGUCCCUGAGGCAGGAGUCUGCAGACAGAUUUCCAUCCAAACCAUCACAGAGUGGGCAAGCUGGAACGGUGCUGAGGGUCUGGGUCGGGGUGACGAGAUAGGUGGCGACCAGCAUGACCUUAAACCUACCUCUGCCUCCUGAGUGCAGGCUGGGGUUAAACCUCCCCUGACCUUGUGGAACUGUCUCAGAGAAUAAAGUAUGUUCAGAGACCAUUUAUGGUUUUUGUAUGUCAAAUAUAACAUCUGGC